rnacentral:rRNA from 1 species
UACGGAGGGUGCAAGCGUUAAUCGGAAUUACUGGGCGUAAAGCGCACGCAGACGGUUGGAUAAGUUAGAUGUGAAAGCCCCGGGCUCAACCUGGGAAUUACAUUUAAAACUGUCCAGCUAGAGUCUUGUAGAGGGGGGUAGAAUUCCAGGUGUAGCGGUGAAAUGCGUAGAGAUCUGGAGGAAUACCGGUGGCGAAGGCGGCCCCCUGGACAAAGACUGACGCUCAGGUGCGAAAGCGUGGGGAGCAAACAGG